GCCCUGAUGGUCUAGUAGUAUGAUACCUUGUUAGGGUUGUUUUAACGCUCGAGGUGGUCCCCGGUUCAAUUCCGGGUUAGGGCC